AUGCCACAACCAAAAGUCCACUAACAUCCGCACCCUCCCAGGAUCUUAACCUGCACCCAUCCUACUUCUCAUCUACCGUUUGUUUCCCGAGAAAAUUCGAAAAAGAAAAUUAAAAAUAAAAAACCGAAAAACACCGCACCCCGCUCUCUGUAUGGCGGUUCGAGCUUCCGUCUCGCGGUUCCCAAUCGACGCCGGAGCCCACGAGAGCUCAGGCAUCCCAUGGGGCGUUUUGGUGACGCCGUUCGGGACCAAGGACAAGAACGGCCAUUCGCCGGCGUACGGAUCGGACGGCCAGCUGCUGCCGAGGUGUGAGAACUGCUGGGCGUAUUUCAACACUUACUGCGAGCUGGAUCAGUGGUCGUGGAACUGAGCCCUGUGCGGAAACCCUCAGGGGCUUUCGUCUCAGGCCAUUGCUCGAUACUCCCACCCUGAGUCUUGCCCCGAGACGAUGUCCUCGUUCGUAGAUCUGGAGCUUCCUGGAGAAGAGUCGGAUGAAGCAAUGCAACCUCGCCCGGUUUGUGUUGCGGCCAUUGAUUUGUCCUCUUCAGAAGAGAAUUUUUGGAACUUACUAAAAGUGCAUUGCUGGCCUCUUUGUAAGCUCUUGGGCCCGGUUCUCUGUUUGGUCUUGCUACCUUUAGUCACAAAUUAGGGUUGUAUGAUGUUCAAGGACCUAUACCAGUUGUGAAGAAUGUUUUCAUUCCACCGGAAACAGAGGGCAACCUACCAUUUGAGCUUGAAGAUGUCAUGCCUUUGUUACAGUUUUUGGCUCCAGUGGAAACUUGUAAGGACCAUAUUAAAUCUGCACUUGAAGCGCUUAGGCCAGCAACUUCAUGGGAGAGAACUACAGCAGCUGGUCAGCAGACACCGUUCUACUAAGAUCUGGUAGUUUAAUCUUCCGUAUCAUUGUUAUUGUAUGCUGGGGAUUUAUUUUGGAAAUGCAAACAUUGACAUAUUUUACAGGCUGCUGUUGCUGUUCAAGCAGGUGCUUGCGUAGACAUUUUUGCUGUUACAAAUGAGUAUACAGAUUUGGCGUCUUUGAAGUUUCUAAAUGUAGACAGUGAUCCUGUCACUGCUUGUCAAUACAUGGUUAAUAUAUGGUCAUUACAAAGAGAUCAAUGAACAUAAAUAUGAGAAUUUUGUACAAAGAUGUACAUAUCAAUUGCGAAA